CGGGACGGGUGAGUAAUGUCUGGGAAACUGCCUGAUGGAGGGGGAUAACUACUGGAAACGGUAGCUAAUACCGCAUAACGUCGCAAGACCAAAGAGGGGGACCUUCGGGCCUCUUGCCAUCGGAUGUGCCCAGAUGGGAUUAGCUAGUAGGUGGGGUAACGGCUCACCUAAGCGACGAUCCCUAGCUGGUCUGAGAGGAUGACCAGCCACACUGGAACUGAGACACGGUCCAG
rnacentral:rRNA from 1 species